rnacentral:rRNA from 1 species
CCUACGUGCGGCUGCAGUGGGGAAUAUUGCACAAUGGGCGCAAGCCUGAUGCAGCCAUGCCGCGUGUGUGAAGAAGGCCUUCGGGUUGUAAAGCACUUUCAGCGGGGAGGAAGGCGGUGAGGUUAAUAACCUCAUCGAUUGACGUUACCCGCAGAAGAAGCACCGGCUAACUCCGUGCCAGCAGCCGCGGUAAUACGGAGGGUGCAAGCGUUAAUCGGAAUUACUGGGCGUAAAGCGCACGCAGGCGGUCUGUCAAGUCGGAUGUGAAAUCCCCGGGCUCAACCUGGGAACUGCAUUCGAAACUGGCAGGCUAGAGUCUUGUAGAGGGGGGUAGAAUUCCAGGUGUAGCGGUGAAAGGCGUAGAGAUCUGGAGGAAUACCGGUGGCGAAGGCGGCCCCCUGGACAAAGACUGACGCUCAGGUGCGAAAGCGUGGGGAGCAAACAGGAUUAGAUACCCUUGUAGUC